UGUGAAUUGACGAUAAAUUAAAAGGGUGUAUUAAUUUAUCGAUUUUGAUUAGAUCAAAAUAAUAUUUCACAACGUUAGACAUCGUGGUCGGGAACCUAAUGGGUCGCACACAAAAGAGAAUUGGAAGACUGCAAAUUGUUAAUUGAUUAAUUUAACAAUCGUUGGAUAAAUUAAUUAAUUGAAUUUCUUAUUUAUAAUCCCGAAUUAAUUAAUUGGAUUAAUUAAUUCACGGACCGGGUUUGAUUAAUUGGAUUAAUUAAAUAUUGGACUGGAUCGGGCCGGGUCCGUUUGGG
rnacentral:lncRNA from 1 species